rnacentral:lncRNA from 10 species
UUUUGUCAUUUCUGAUUGUAUUUGAACCUUCUUUUUUUUUUCUUUAUUUGUCUAGCUAGUGAUCUAUCUAUUUCAUUAAUUUUUUUUUUCAAAAAACAAGCUCCUGGAUUCACUGAUGUUUUGAAUAGUUUUUUGCAUCUCUAUCUCCUUCAGUUCAGCUCUGAUUUUGGUUACUUUUUUGUCUUCUGCUAGCUUUGGGUUUUGUUUGCUCUUGCUUCUCUAGUUCUUUUAGUUGUGAUGUUAGGUUGUUUGAGAUCCUUUUACAUUUUGAUGUGGACAUUUAAUGCUAUAAAUUUCCCUGUUAACACCGCCUUAGCUGUGUCCCAGAGAUUCUGGUAUUUUUUUUUCUUUGUUCUGAUUGAUAAAUUACAAAGAACUUCUUGAUUUCUGCCUUAAUUUCAUUAUUUCCCCCAAAGUCAUUCAGGAGUAGGUUGUUCAAUUUCCAUGUAAUUGUGUGGUUUUGAGUGAAUUUCUUAGUCUUGAUUUCUAAUUUGAUUGUGCUGUGGUCUGAGAGAGUAGUUGUUAUGAUUUUAGUUCUUUUGCAUUUGCUAAGGAAUGUUUUGCUUCUGAUUAUGUGAUUGGUAUUAGAGUAAGUGCCAUGUGGUGAUGAGAAGAAUGAAUGUGAUAUGGUUUGGCUGUGUCCCCAUCCAAAUCUCAUCUUGAAUUGUAGUUCCCAUAAUCUCCAUGUGUCAUGGGAGGGACCUAGUAGGAGGUAAUUGAAUCAUUGGGGUGGUUACCCCCAUGCUGCUCUUCUUGUGAUAGUGAGUAAGUUCUCACGAGAUCUCAUGGUUUUAUAAGGGGCUUUUCCUCCUUUUGCUCAAUGCUUCUCCUUGCUGCAAUGUGAAGAAGGACAUGUUUGCUUCCAUUUCCAUCAUGAUUUAUCCAGUGAGGAACUGAGGCCACAUAAGUGGGCUUGGAAAUGAGUCCCUUAACCCCAGUGAUGCCUUCAGAUGAUUGAAGCACUGACCAGCAGCUUGACUUGCAAGAUCAUGAGAGACUCUGAGCUGUAACCACUCAGCUAAGUAGCUUUUGGAUUUCUGACCCAUAGAAACAGUGAUGUAGCAAGCAUUUGUUUUUUAAGCUUCAAAGAUGUAAAUAAUGUGUUACACAGCAAUAGAUAACGGAUACACAUAUGGUUAUCCUAUCUUAUGAGGAAUAAACUGAAAUCUCAAGAGGUCAAUGGGUUUGUCCCAUGAACAAAAAGCUAUAAAUUCUUAGAGCUGCCAUUCAAACCCUAGCCUUGUAACUCCUAAUUCAUUAGUCCUACCAUUAUAUCAGACUGCCAUCAGUCAUGUGUAACUUAUUUAUUAUAUUCCCAAACCUAGAAUAUAAUUCUAAGGGCAUUAUUAAAUCUUAAUCAGAAAUAUCAAAAUAUGAAGGUCCAUGGUUUAAUCAUUGUCUUUGUAUAUCCUAAGCAAGAACAUGCGUACCAACUCCAAAACUGCAAAAACUAAUUAUUAGAACAAGAAAGUAGCAAGGGACUUUCGAGAUAUCUGUAAUAAAGUUUCACUAUGUAGACAGAGAGAACCCCUGAGAGAGGAAAUUACUGGAAAAUGCCACAGCUUGAGUAAGAGAUGGAAUAAAGACUCACCUCAACUGUACAAAGAAAACGUUUCUGAAAUUUAGUUUUAAUGUAGUUAGUUCCUUGAGGACAGAGACUUACAAGUUGAUGUGCUCAAAGCUUGGCACAAUGGCUGGAACAGAAUGUCAAGACACUCUUUUGAGACAGAGUCUCGCCCUGUACCCUGGCUGGAGUGCAAUGGUGCGAUCUUGGCUCACUGAAACCUCCGCCUCCAAGCGAUUCUCCUGCUUCAGCCUCCCAAGUAGCUGGGAUUACAGAUGUGUGCCACCACACCUGGCUAACUUUUGUAUCUUUAGUAGAGACGGGGUUUCACCAUGUUGGCCAGGCUGGUCUCAAACUCCUGACUUUGUGAUCCGCCCGCCUCAGCCUCCCAAAGUUCUGGGAUUACAGGCACGAGCCACCGCACCAGGCCCAAAACACUCUUAUCUAGCCUCUUGCUAGAUUAAUAAUGCACUCUAUUACUUCUGUAAAAUAUAGUGAUGAAUGCUCUAAGGCAUACUGAAAACUCACAGCUAAUUGCCUACCCACUUGUAUACAUCUGCUUCCACCUGUUGAGUUGUAUGCUCACCAACAGCCUUUAUGUUCAUUUCCAAAUCACUUUAUGCCAAAUGUACAAAUUAUUAUAACUUGAUUUGAUUGAAAAUUAUAGAAACUAAUUAAAUAUAAGUUUAAAAUGAGAAGUAUUCUUUUUAUGAAACCUCAAACUAUUGGAAAAGAUUUGAUAAAG